rnacentral:rRNA from 1 species
CACGUAGGGUGCGAGCGUUGUCCGGAAUUACUGGGCGUAAAGCGCGCGCAGGCGGAUAUUUAAGUCGGUCGUGAAGUCUCCCGGCCCAACUGGGAGGGGUCGUCCGAAACUGGAUGUCUUGAGGCAGCAGAGGUAGGUGGAAUUCCUGGUGUAGUGGUGAAAUGCGUAGAGAUCAGGAGGAACACCGGUGGCGAAGGCGGCCUACUGGGCUGUCACUGACGCUGAGGCGCGAAAGCGUGGGGAGCAAACAGG